rnacentral:rRNA from 1 species
UACGUAGGGCGCAAGCGUUGUCCGGAUUUAUUGGGCGUAAAGAGCGUGUAGGCGGUCAGGUAGGUCCGUUGUGAAAACUCGAGGCUCAACCUCGAGACGCCGAUGGAAACCAUCUGACUAGAGUCCGGAAGAGGAGAGUGGAAUUCCUGGUGUAGCGGUGAAAUGCGCAGAUAUCAGGAAGAACACCCGUGGCUAAGGCGGCUCUCUAGUACGGUACUGACGCUGAGACGCGAAAGCGUGGGGAGCGAACAGG